GAUGAACGCUGGCGGCGUGCCUAAUGCAUGCAAGUCGAGCUAACGGACGAGAAGCUUGCUUCUCUGAUGUUAGCGGCGGACGGGUGAGUAACACGUGGAUAACCUACCUAUAAGACUGGGAUAACUUCGGGAAACCGGAGCUAAUACCGGAUAAUAUUUUGAACCGCAUGGUUCAAAAGUGAAAGACGGUCUUGCUGUCACUUAUAGAUGGAUCCGCGCUGCAUUAGCUAGUUGGUAAGGUAACGGCUUACCAAGGCAACGAUGCAUAGCCGACCUGAGAGGGUGAUCGGCCACACUGGAACUGAGACACGGUCCAGACUCCUACGGGAGGCAGCAGUAGGGAAUCUUCCGCAAUGGGCGAAAGCCUGACGGAGCAACGCCGCGUGAGUGAUGAAGGUCUUCGGAUCGUAAAACUCUGUUAUUAGGGAAGAACAUAUGUGUAAGUAACCGUGCACAUCUUGACGGUACCUAAUCAGAAAGCCACGGCUAACUACGUG
rnacentral:rRNA from 1 species